rnacentral:tRNA from 1 species
AAGUCAUUUCCUUGGGACAAGUUGUUUUGAAAACAACCAAAAAGUGCUCGUUACACUUAAUGACUUA